rnacentral:lncRNA from 1 species
ACUUCGCCAUUUUCCUCCGGAAGUGCGGAUCCCAGCGGCGGUCGUGUAGCUGAGCAGCCCUGGGGCUUGGUUCUAUGUCCCUGUGGCUAUGUUUCCAGUGUCCUCUGGGUGUUUCCAAGAGCAACAAGAAACGAAUAAAUCUCUGGAAGCUCUUGGUUUACUGUGUCACCCAAGCGACUGGGAGCCAGGUCCUGCUCUGGGACUGAGCCGUUGGAGCCGACCGAUGACUGCACUGGGCUGACCGCAACAAGCUGACCACACACACUCCUCACUCCCCUGGCCCUGGUGGGCGGCAGACACCAUGGUGCAGACGGAUGUGCUCCUACCAGAGCUGGCCCCACAGACAGUGCCACCCUACGAGCUGCCCUGCAAAGAGUAUGACGUGGCCAGAAACACGGGCGCCUACACGUCCUCCGGCCUGGCCACCGCUGGCUGGAGGUGUGGUUCCAGAACUGCUAUGCUCGCUACCGCCAGGCCUUCGCCAACUGCAACCAGUCAGAGCGGGAGCUGCAGGGGCACGAGAGCCAGCAGCUGGCCGCAGAGACCCAGGCACUGGCACAGCCGACACAGCAAGACUCCACGUGCAGGGUGGGCGAGCGACUGCAGGACACGAACAGCUGGAAGUCGGAGCUGCAGCGUGAGGUGGAGGCACUGGCUGCGGAGACCGACCUGCUGCUGGCCCAGAAGCAACGGCUGGAGCGCGCCCUGGAUGCCAUGGAGGUGCCCUUCUCCAUCACCACUGACAACAUGCAGUGCAGCCAGCGCCACCAGCACACCAACCUUUUGCGUGACCAUGUGGAGACAGAGCUGCUGAAGGCCUAUCCCCCUGCACCCUCUCAGUGCCUCAAGAACUGCUGCAGCUCCCGCAAACCCUCUGCCUGCAACAAGGGUGCCUGCGAAGUGAUGGAGACACUGACAGUGCAGGAAGAGGAAAACCCAGGGACAGAGGGGUGCAGGACUCGGGCUCUGGCACACAAGGAGGUGUUGACCAAGGCCUGCAGCAGCUGGGCCUCCUGGGAUCCUCACCAAGGACCGGCUCUGGUGCUCAGGGCGUCUCCUCCCUCAGGAAGCUGAGCUCAUCCGGAACAUUCAGGAGCUGCUGAAGAGAGCCAUCAUGCAAGCAGUGAGCCAGAUCUGGUGGGUCGAGGGCUGCCCAAGGGAUGACUCCUGACCCCACCCACGGCUGGUCCUGGGGCAAGGCAUUGAACGACAGGACCCUGAAGCUCAGAGCCGGCAGGGGCUGUCCCAGGUCACAGUGGGAGCACAGGGCUGGGUGGGGGAGGUUCCGGACCAGCCUGAGUUUGAGUGGCCAAAGCCCAGUGCCACAACUGCUCUGCAGCCUCCCAGCAUGGGCGGCAGCUCUUGGUCACUGCUGAGCACGAGGACAGCCGGCCCAGAGCUCCCUCCUGAAGCGGGCAUGAAGUCCUAGCCUGCAGCAUGGAGGGUCCCCAGCGGGGCCCUCCCUGGCCACACACCAAGGCCCUGCCCCACCCCGCCCCAGACUGAACUGAGAGCACAUGGAGAUCUGCGAGAUGGACUGGUCGGACAAGGUGGAGGCCUACAACCUCGACAAGACUUGCGGGCGCCACCACAGCCAGAGCACCGAGGUGCAGGCUCAUCCGGCACUCCACCACCUUCCAAGAGAGGGGGGCCCCAGCUCUGCCCCGUGCUUGCCCUGGCUGUGGUCUCGCCUCCCUCUGCCUGGGGGCCCCAGCGGCACUGCUUCCCCCAGCCUGGCCCAGAGGCCCUCGCCCCCGAGGGCACUUGGGCAACUGUCUGCCCCUGGCAUGAGAAAGCAUGCAAGACCUCCUCAAGUGCCCAGCGCGUGCACAGCCUGGUUGCCCGUAGACAGGACAGGGUGGGGUGCGGUCAGCCCCAGGCACCGGCAGGAUUGCAUUUCCACCCAAGGCCAGCAGAGGGAGCACGAACACCGCCCACUUGAGCAUAGCAAACUCCUGGCCCCGCAGCGCCUCCACCCCAGAGACCCGGACCAAGUUCACACAGGACAAUCUGUGCCACGCCCAGCGCGAGCGCCUGGACUCGGCCAACCUGUGGGUGCUGGUGGACUGCAUCCUUCGCGACACCUCCGAGGACCUGGGACUCCAGUGUGACGCCGUGAACCUGGCCUUCGGGCGCCGCUGUGAGGAACUGGAGGACGCGCGGCACAAGCUGCAGCACCACCUGCACAAGAUGCUGCGGGAAAUCACAGAUCAGGAACACAACGUGGUGGCACUGAAGGAGGCCAUCAAGGACAAGGAGGAACCUCUGCACAUAGCCCAGACCCGGCUGUAGCUGCUCUCACACCGGCCCAACAUGCAGCUGUGCCGCGAUGCAGCCCAGUUCAGCCCCAGCUCACACCCCCCAACACCCCCAAGCUGGUGAGUGAGGUGGAGGAGCUGUACAAGUCCAUCACAGCGCUGCGGGAGAAGCUUCUACAAGCGGAGCAGUCCCUGCGCAACCUCAAGGACAUCCACAUGAGCCUGGAGAAGGACGUCACCGCCAUGACCAACAGUGUCUUCAUCGACCGCCAGAAGUGCAUGGCCCAUCGUACUUGCUACCCCACCAUUCUGCAGCUGGCUGGCUACCAGUGAGCAGCGGCACGGUGCUUCCCCCCAAUCCCCCAAAUAAACAGUGCGUUAGCUUUCUGCA